rnacentral:rRNA from 1 species
UGAGCAAUCUGCCCUUCACAUCGGAAUAACCAUUGGAAACGAUGGCUAAUACCGAAUAUGACUUCGGAUCGCAUGAUCUGAAGUGGAAAGCUCCGGCGGUGAAGGAUGAGCUCGCGGCCUAUCAGCUUGUUGGUGAGGUAAUAGCUCACCAAGGCGAUGACGGGUAGCCGGCCUGGAGAGGGUGACCCGGCCACACGUGGGACUGAGACACCGGCACGUA